CCGCGCUCCGCCCCCGGCCCGCCCCCUGCGUCGCCGGCACAGCGCCCUCCCCGGCCGGAGGCCGCCCGCGCCCGGAACCACCGCGGCGAGCGCGUCCUGGGCUUGCCUGCAGUCCGCUGCCCGGAUCUCUUGGGGAUGCCGCCUAAAAGGGCAGGUUCUGGGGCCCGUCGUCUGAGCUACCGUUUCAGGUAGCUUCUUCUGACCUCAGACUCCUUCCCCUCAAGGACAGCUCCUUUCUUUCAUCUCCACAAGCUUACCCCUCCCACCCAAAAUCUACCCGAAUGCCACUUCCAUCAGAGUCAGACAAAGCCAAAGAAGAGACUGGAAUCUGUAGCAGGUGUGUGCUGAGCUACGGCUGCGGGCCCAGCGCCAUGCUGGGAGCCCGCAGAGAAGAUCAAAAUGUAGCACACGGAGCCCUCAAACACUUAUAGUGGAGGAGGCUCAUCGUAUACUGGCACGAACACUGGAUCUUCAUUGCUUUUUCACAGGCUUUCUCUAGUUGCAGCAAGUGGGGACUACUCUUUUUUAGGGUGCAGGGGCUUCUCAUUGCGGUGGCUUCUCUUGUGGAACACAAGAGAAGAAGGCUCUAGCGUGCCAGCUCAGUAGUUGCGGCCGGGGCUUAGUUGCUCUGAGGCAUGUGCGGUCUUCCUGAGACCAGGAAUCUAACAACAUUGACAGGCAGAUUCUUAUCCUCUGAGCUACAAAGGAAGUAUUUGCUUCAUUUCUGAAUAGUCUGGGGAGCUUCUUAAAAAAAAAAAAGACCCCAGAAUCCACCCCUGCCUUAUUAAGUUUGAAUCUUGGAAGUAUAUAUUUUUUUUAAUGAGAAGUGAUUUUAAUUUGGUGAGCUCGGUAUCCAGCCGUCCUUUGGGAGCUGCUGAUGGAGGGAGUUACUGCUGGCUGUUCCGAGGAGGGAGCAGGCCCUGUGAUCCAGAGUGCACUGCCGUGGAUGACUUCAGAGUUGGCCUGCAGGGCAGCACUCCACACAGUGGGAGCAGCCUAGGUGACAGCCCAGAAGGAAGAAAGAGCGUGGCAGGUUUGGGAAACUAGUACAUUAUGAGAAAUGCUGGGCUGGAAGAAGCACAAAUUGGAAUCAAGAUUGCCGGAAGA